UACAUGUGGGGCAAGCGUUGUUCGGAAUUACUGGGCCUAAAGGGUGCGUAGGCGGCUUGCUAAGUCAGUGGUGAAAUCGUCCGGCCCAACCGGACACGUGCCAAUGAUACUGGUGAGCUAGAGUGCGUGAGGGGUAGGGGGAACGAGCAGUGUAGCGGUGAAAUGCGUAGAUAUCAGGAAGAACACCCGUGGCGAAAGCGGCUCUCUGGAACGGUACUGACGCUGAGACGCGAAAGCGUGGGGAGCGAACAGG
rnacentral:rRNA from 1 species